rnacentral:lncRNA from 1 species
GAUGCCUGUGUUAGCGAGAUUGUCUCUUACUGUGGAACUUUGUAAUGUUUAGUGAUACAGUGAUGGGACCUGUAAGCUUAACCUGAGCAAAUGAUCUAGACUAAAAUGGAGAUUAAAAUGGAUUGUUACUCGUGGAGAAGAGGGAAAAGAAGAAAAGCAACUAAUUGUCGUGUUCUUUAUCUCACAAUCUCACUUCAAGUCCUGUUUCCCUCUGAUUUGGCAAGAGAGACAAUCUUGCAAUAAUAAAUUAACAUUCUAGCUCUGAGGAGUUCAACUAAGAAAUUUUCUCAUCACUAAGAGUAACUGGAUUACUGCAGAAUGACUACAGAAGU